GCCACCUUAGCUCAGUUGGUAGAGCGAUGCUUUCGUAAAGCAUAGGUCGCCGGUUCGAUCCCGGCAGGUGGCUCCA
rnacentral:tRNA from 1 species